UACGAGGGGGGCGAGCGUUGUUCGGAAUUAUUGGGCGUAAAGGGGGCGUAGGCGGUUUGGUAAGUCUUGGGUGAAAUCUCCAGGCUCAACUUGGAGUCUGCACGAGAAACUGCCGGGCUUGAGUGUGGGAGAGGUGAGUGGAAUUCCUGGUGUAGCGGUGAAAUGCGUAGAUAUCAGGAGGAACACCUGUGGCGAAGGCGGCGACCUGGACGGACACUGACGCUGAGACGCGAAAGCGUGGGGAGCAAACAGG
rnacentral:rRNA from 1 species